GCCUUCAUGGUGUAAUUGUAAGCACGCCCGACUACCAAUCGGGAGGUCCGAAGUUCAAAUCCCGGCGAAAGUA
rnacentral:tRNA from 1 species